GAUGAACGCUGGCGGCGUGCUUAACACAUGCAAGUCGAACGGUAAGGCCCCUUCGGGGGUACACGAGUGGCGAACGGGUGAGUAACACGUGGGCAAUCUGCCCCUCACACCGGGAUAACUCGGGGAAACCCGAGCUAAUACCGGAUACUUCGUCGAGGUCGCAUGGCCAUGACGAGAAAGCGCCGACGGUGAGGGAUGAGCCCGCGGCCCAUUAGCUUGUUGGUGAGGUAACGGCUCACAAAGGCGACGAGGGGUAGGCGAGCUGAGAGGCUGAUCGGCCACACUGGGACUGAGACACGGCCCAGACUCCUACGGGAGGCAGCAGUGGGGAAUCUUGCGCAAUGGGCGAAAGCCUGACGCAGCAACGCCGCGUGCGGGAUGAAGGCUCUCGGGUCGUAAACCGCUUUCAGCAGGGAUGAAACUGACAGUACCAGCAGAAGAAGCCCCGGCUAAAUACGUGCCAGCAGCCGCGGUAACAC
rnacentral:rRNA from 1 species